rnacentral:ncRNA from 1 species
AUUUUUGACCAAUGCUCUCAAUGUAAAAAUGAUGAAAUUCAACCAAUCGCCGUUAAACAGCGAGAGUAACUAUGACUCUCUUAAAGUAGCCAAAUGUCAUC